rnacentral:rRNA from 1 species
UACGGAGGGUGCAAGCGUUAUCCGGAUUCACUGGGUUUAAAGGGUGCGUAGGUGGUGAGGUAAGUCGGAUGUGAAAGCUCCGAGCUCAACUCGGAAAUGGCAUUGGAAACUACCUUGCUAGAGGGUUUGAGGGGGGACUGGAAUACUUGGUGUAGCAGUGAAAUGCGUAGAUAUCAAGUGGAACACCAGUGGCGAAGGCGAGUCCCUGGAAAACUCCUGACACUGAGGCACGAAAGCUAGGGGAGCAAACAGG